rnacentral:rRNA from 1 species
AGCAGUCGCCGCGGGAAUACGUAGGUGGCAAGCGUUGUCCGGAAUUAUUGGGCGUAAAGGGCUCGCAGGCGGUUUCUUAAGUCUGAUGUGAAAGCCCCCGGCUCAACCGGGGAGGGUCAUUGGAAACUGGGAAACUUGAGUGCAGAAGAGGAGAGUGGAAUUCCACGUGUAGCGGUGAAAUGCGUAGAGAUGUGGAGGAACACCAGUGGCGAAGGCGACUCUCUGGUCUGUAACUGACGCUGAGGAGCGAAAGCGUGGGGAGCGAACAGGAUUAGAUACCCGUGUAGUCCCUGUCUCUUAUAA